rnacentral:lncRNA from 1 species
ACGUAAGAUGAAGCAUGUGCCCAUAGGCAGUGUGUGCACAUCUCAUGUUCAUACGAGAGGUAGCAUGUGUCCAUAGACAGCGUGUGCAUUUCUUGUCUUCAUGCAAGAGACAAUGUGUGCCCGUAGGCAGCGUGUGUACAUCUCAUGAUCGCAGACUGAGGGUCUUAUAAGUUAGCUUUGUGGAGGUCUCUUAGGGUAUCCCUCUACUUUUCGCAUGACUCGAGCUCUGAUGGGGUCUUGUAAGUUAGCUCCACCUCUAAAUCACCAACAUUUGCUCACCAAAUCAUAGACUA